GAUGAACGCUAGCUACAGGCUUAACACAUGCAAGUCGAGGGGAAACGAUAUUGGAAGCUUGCUUCCGAUAGGCGUCGACCGGCGCACGGGUGAGUAACGCGUAUCCAACCUGCCCAUCACUUGGGGAUAACCUUGCGAAAGUAAGACUAAUACCCAAUGAUAUCCGUCGAAGACAUCUGAAGUGGAUUAAAGAUUCAUCGGUGAUGGAUGGGGAUGCUUAUGAUUAGCUUGUUGGCGGGGUAACGGCCCACCAAGGCAACGAUCAGUAGGGGUUCUGAGAGGAAGGUCCCCCACAUGAGAACUGAGACAAGGUCCAAACUCCUACGGGAGGAAGCAGUGAGGAAUAUUGGUCAAUGGACGAGAGUCUGAACCAGCCAAGUAGCGUGCAGGAUGACGGCCUUAUGGGUUGUAAACUGCUUUUAUAAGGGAAUAAAGUGGGAGUCGUGACUCCUUUUGCAUGUACCUUAUGAAUAAGGACCGGCUAAUUCCGUGCCAGCAGCCGCCGUAA
rnacentral:rRNA from 1 species